CGGGAAACACCGCAGGGCACAGUGGAAGAAGACAAAUAUUUUUCAGCGCAUUUGACCUUAUAAACUGCAUAGUUAUUUUUGCUCUAUUUUGACUGAACCUGUUGAGUUACAAAGUGGAACAUAGUAAAUGCAUUCUAUUUUGGUUCAUAGCCAGGGGUUAAGCCCCAAGCUAUGGGAGCGGGACAUUCCAGCUCUGGGAGUUAUUGGUCCACACGCUCCACUUUCCUUUUAUAUUUGAAGAAUGAUCUGUCAUUUGUUUUUACCCAAGAGCUUAAAAGACUUAGCAAAUGCGAGAAAACAUUCAGUGCCUUAAAACAAAUCAGUAGGUAAGCCAUCAUUGAAAAUCAAUUUCUGAUAUAGCUAAUAAUAACAACAUAAGAUUAACUCAAGAUUAACUAAGUUAAAGGACCACUAUAGUGCCAGGAAAACAUACUCGUUUUCCUGGCACUAUAGUGCCCUGAGGGUGCCCCCACCCUCAGGGACCCCCUCCCGCCCGGCUCUUGAAGGGGGAAAGGGGUAAAAACUUACCUUUUUCCAGCGCUGGGCGGGAGCUCUCCUCC